rnacentral:sRNA from 1 species
UGCAACGGAAAAUCCGUUGCAAAGUAAUUUUCAUUUGCAACUGAUUAUCCGUUGCAAAUUUAGAUUGCAACGGAAUUUCCGUUGCAAAUUAAUUUAAUUUGCAACGGAUAAUUCAUUGCAAAUGGUU